rnacentral:rRNA from 1 species
UACAGAGACCUCAAGCGUUAUCCGGAAUCAUUGGGCGUAAAGCGUACCGAUAGGUGGUUUAACAAGUCAGAAGUGAAAUCUCCGAGCUCAACUCGGAAUCUGUCUUUUGAAACUGUUAAACUAGAAGGGCAAAGAGGAAGCUGGAACAAACGGUGUAGUAGUGAAAUGCGUUGAUAUCGUUUGGAACACCAAUAGCGUAGGCAGGCUUCUGGGUGCCACUUGACACUGCUAGGACGAAAGCGUGGGUAGCGAAUGGG